UAGGACAUCAGGUAUGUGAGGUUAGGGCUUACCCUGAUGACCUCAUUUUAACUCCAUUACCUCUUUAAAGAUCUUAUCUCCAAAUACAGUCCCAUUCAGAGGUACUGGGGGUUAGGAUUUCAACAUAUGAGUUUACAGUUCAGCCCAUAGCAUGUGGCAAAAUCCUACUCAGACUUGAAGGCCCUCUCCAGUAUGACUACUCUUCCCAGCCCAUCCCUUCAUCCCUGCAGGUCUUUCCCUGGGACAAAAUUAAUGCCUUCGUCUUCCCUUCAGCCACAGGUUGCCUCCAAUUCCCCCAGCCCCAGCCCACAGCAGCAUUUCUCGUAGCUGUAAUUGGUCAUGGGCCUAUCUCUCCUCCCACACUGUAAGCGACUUCUACAAGCCACUCUUCAGCUCCUGGCUUUCCGUAUGAUAUUAAACAGGUGAUCUCUCCUCUUUGGGUUUCAGAGCUUCCAGAAAAGUAAGAAAAAUGAGGCUCAGACUUGGCAAGGCUCUCACCAAUGCCUGCUUUCUACAUCACAGUGCCUGGCAUACGGUGAUCAUAGAGAGUAGUGUUGCUGUUACUAUGGUUACCUGACCUUUGUCCAAAGGUGGAUCAUGUAAGUAUGAAUGUCUGCAGAGGUACAAAAUGACACAGAGCUGAACCAGGACUGGGGACAAGGAAAAGUAACACUGUCAUGUGCCAGAGGGAGCUCUUGAGAAAUGCCUCUUAUUAAAUUACCUGAUGGCUCCAUCGUGUAGAGGCCUGAAUUAGGGGAAAGCUUACCUGCAACAAUGCCUCCUGAAAUAAAACACCCUCAUGUUCAUCUGUCCCAGGUAACACCUGUGAUUGCUCAUCCACUGUGGGGUGCCUGGGUAACUGGCUCAGAAAAAAAGUGAAACCCCAUCGCCCAUUAUCCCCCACAAAGGAUUAGACAACCAGGGGAUCCCAAUGAUCUGACCUUCCCGUGUCCGUGAUGACCAGCUGGCUGUUGAUAACAGUGGUUACGUGACCCUGAGCUUGAUGAUUCAACUGGCAGAAACAGCAAACAGGAGAUUCUUCCACUUGCCAUCAACAAGGGGUAACCAAGAGUAACGCUGUACUUAGUUGAUCAUAUUCUCAGCCUACUGACCCAAAGGGAGGGAACUGUUAAAGUUAAAUACAAAAUGGGGAGCGGACUUGAAAAUUCCCUGAGUGGAAGAAAACCUUUUAAGCCACACAAGCGAAACUUAAUUUCGAUGAUUCUGCAAAAUAACUGAAAGUGAACUUGGGCCACUUCUUGUAAUUGCCAGAUAAUCAUUAAAACAAAAACAAAAACAAAAAAACAAACAAAAAACCCCUUAUGUCCUCUUUAUAAAAAUGAUGUGAGAUAACUACUUUUAACUAAUCCCUUGCAACCUGGGAACUCUCAUGGUAAUAACCAGUCACUGGAAAUGUUAAAACAGCUUGCCCACUUUCACUGCAUUAACCACCCUGUACGUCAGGCCCCUGAGCGCCAUAUCAUCUUUGAAUUCAAAAGCUCUCAUUGGUGAACUGUUCUUAAUAUGCACAAUAAACUCUUACUAAACACUGUUUAUUUAUUGGAUGGGUUUCAUUUAUCUACUUCUGGAUUUUUGACACCUGUCGGUCCCAUUCAUCCUUUCACUUGUACAUCGUUAUUAUGACCCUCAAAUGGGUACCUCUGUCCCAGACCCCUCUCCAGCCUGAUUCCACAAUGGCCCUGCAGGCGGCUUCCCCCUGAAUGUUCCAUACUUCGAAUUCAAAAGUCUCAAACAACACCUGGAUAGUUGUUAGGAAAAAGAUAACA